rnacentral:rRNA from 1 species
GAUGAACGCUAGCGGCAGGCUUAAUACAUGCAAGUCGAGGGGCAGCACAGAUAGCAAUAUUGGGUGGCGACCGGCCAACGGGUGCGGAACACGUACACAACCUUCCUUUUAGUGUGGGAUAGCCCAGAGAAAUUUGGAUUAAUACCACAUAGUAUAUUGGAGUGGCAUCACUUUGAUAUUAAAGAUUUAUUGCUAAAAGAUGGGUGGGCGUAUGAUUAGGUUGUUGGUAGAGGUAACGGCGCACCAAGCCUUCGAUCAUUAACUGGUGUGAGAGCACGACCAGUCAAACGGGCACUGAGACACGGGCCCGACUCCUACGGGAGGCAGCAGUAAGGAAUAUUGGUCAAUGGACGGAGGUCUGAACCAGCCAUGCCGCGUGAAGGAUGACGGCCCUCUGGGUUGUAAACUUCUUUUAUGUGGGACGAAAAAGGGCCAUUUUUGGUCAACUGACGGUACCAUAGGAAUGAGCACCGGCUAACUCCGUGCCAGCAGCCGCCGUAA